rnacentral:misc_RNA from 1 species
CAAGAAACCCAGUGGAAUAAUCGGCUUUUUGCACAGUUUGCGAUAAAGGUCGAACCAUUCCGGUUCAAACUCCGGUGAGCUUCUAAUAAUAAUGAGAUCAGCCUCUCCAACUGCAAAGCCAAAACGAACAGUGUCAUUCGGUCCUGUUUAAUCCUCUUUCGUUUCCUCCAAAUACUUCGUAACCUCAUGGAUUAGGACAGUGAAAUCCUAGGUUGUCGACCGGGAAUCUUCACCUUUCAUCAACAUCGACGGCGGGCCGACAAAGGUCAGUGUUGCGGCAGUGAAGAUACUUAAGAAGGCGGUUGAGAUGCCCAUUUCGGAGGCAAUAGAUGGAAGCCAGUGAGAGGGGUAAUUGUAAAUAACCCAGUCUGGUUUUGU